rnacentral:rRNA from 1 species
AUUGAACGCUGGCGGCAGGCUUAACACAUGCAAGUCGCACGAGUGGCGGACGGGUGAGUAAUGCUUGGGAAUCUCGCUUAUGGAGGGGCAUAACUACGGGCACCUGUAGCUAAUACCGCGUCCCAUAGGAUGAGCCCACGUGGGAUUCAGUAGUUGGUGAGGUAACGGCUCACCAAGCCGACGAUCUCUAGCUGGUCUGAGAGGAUGACCAGACACACUGGGACUGAGACACAGCCCAGACUCAAACGUGAGGCAGCAGUGGGGAAUAUUGCGCAAUGGGGACGACCUGACGAAGCCAUGCCGCGUGAAUGAAGAAGGCCGUCGGAUUGUAAAGUUCUUUAGGUAGCGAGGCGUUAACGACAGAAGAAGCACGAGCUAACUCCGUGCCAGCAGCUGCGGUAAUAC